GGAGGGGCGGGGGAGGGGCUCCGAGGGGAGGGGCUCCCAGGGGAGGGGCUCCCGGGGGGAGGGGCUCCCGGGGGGAGGGGGAGGGGCUCCGAGGAGAGGGGGUCCCCGGGGGUCCCAGUCCAUCGGAUCGUAGCCUAACUGAGAAUGCUCCCCCCUCCGAAUGGUGAGCGAGGGAUGCGGCCGGACGGAUCAACAUCUGUUUCCUGAUGUUUGUAAACACUUUAAAGGCGGGGCUUAGCGUGGGGGAGGUGAUCUAACGUCCUGAAGGAUCGAUGACGAGAGAGGCUGCGGAACGGGGUUAACUCUAGUUGUUCUUUAAAAGGCUUCGUAGUUCAAAUGAGUUUGUUGAGGACCGGACGCUGAGGCGCGUUGUGGCGGAGUCGACCUCGCAGCCAUGACCUGAACCACUCCGAUGAACCCUUCAGACAGCAGGUUCAGUUCAAAGUGCUUUAUGUGGUGUGGCCCUGGCCUUAAUUAGGUUUAUGUUUUUGGCUUCUGGUCGUUAAUUAGAGCACAUCAUUUCACCUUCAAAUUAAAGUCACUAAAUAUGGUAUGACGAGGAUUUGAAAAGUAUUUUAGAUCAGAUAGGACCUUGAUUUCAGCCCCAUUUCAGAUCUAUGUUCAUGUACAUAUGUCUCUCUCUCUGUGUUAAUAUGGGGUUUGAAUCAAUGAGUACUAGUAAUGUUUUUAUACACUCUUUUAUUUUUACAUGGAUGAAGCACAAAUAUUCAUCUGAUGGAUCGAUAAAACACAUUUCAGCAUUAAACGCUGCGCUUUCUUUAGUAUUUAUUACUUAGUGGAUUAUUUUGUCUGUGUUUUUAAUGCCUUGGCUAUGGGCUAGAUAUCUUGCUUUUGGUUUGUUUGUAUAUUCUGGAGCAGCUUUGGUUAUUGAGUUAUGAGUUCCUGUAUAACUUUGGUGUUUCUCUCCUCACUGCCUCCCCUCUAUUGUAUUUUUAUAUAAGAUAUUGCGUUUGUGUAUUAAAUAGUAAGAAUAUCCUCUUUUUUUUUCUCAUGAAGCGCGCUUGCAUUGGUGUUGAUAUUCUGAUGACUAGUUUUGUCGUGAUAAAUGCUAUUUUUCAUGUUUUUUCAUUUUGUAAUUGUCUUGAUCUCAUUGAGAAGCACUGAGGUUUGACUUGAAACAUUCGGCAUCAUGGACUGCCUCGUGAGAUGUGGUGCAAAAUAAAG
ensembl:lncRNA